CACAAAUAUAAAAACCCUCUGAUGAAACCGCUAAUAGAAGAAGCAUAGAGAUCUCUUUUUUUUUUUUUUUUUUUUUUAAUUAUUGACCAUUACCAUGAGAUGUUUUUAAUCGCAACUUAUUUGUUUCAAAGUUCAAACCUGUGGAUCAUAGAAUACUGCUGCACAAAACACUUCUCAAAAUUUUCUUGAUGCACUUUGUUGAUCAUACAAAAACGCUACCCAAGAAGAUACAGGAGGUAAGUUCUUUCUUGGCUGCAACAUUCUAGGAGCAUAAUGCACAAUUCCAUCUCUUGACCUCGCUCAAGAUGGAUUUUAAGAUGACCAGCUUCUUCAAAAUCUACACUGGACAUCUUUGUCAGAGCCUUCCUCUCCCUCUGAUUCUUCUUCCACACCCAACAUAGUUUUCUUCAACUCUUCACAACGCUUUCCAAAUUAGGGAAAAGUCGGGGUUAUAUAUUCCAAAUAAUUUUUUCAAACAAUUCUAGGCAACCAUAAGUCUGGACAUGAUGGGCUUCAGUUUUUUACUCUGUUUGGAAUUUAUAAUAUAAAAAAAAAGUAACGAUUAUACAAUCUAAACAAAGGGCAUUUUCGGAAGAAAAAAAUAUAGCGUGCAAGAAUACCAUAGGGUGGAAAAAGUAAUAGUCCUCUAAUAAUUAAGUAUGAUUCAUCACAGUUGUAUAUUAAUUAAAUAUUCUUCUAUAAAAAAUAAAAUAUUGUUAUACAACAAUGAGAAAGAUGUUUGAUCACUUUGUGAAUACAGAGUAUGUGGAUAAAUGUUUGUGGCUCUUAAGUAUUCUGCUUGAAUUUGUGUAUAGAUUUAAUCAAUUAUACCAUAUAUGUUACUCUAUUACAUAUUACUAAUCAAUCAAUUAGAAACUUGGGGAUGUUGCCUUGUUGGUCAUUUUGAC
rnacentral:lncRNA from 1 species